AAGGAGCGCUUGCUGUUCACAUCUUGAAGGUUAUGCGGAUUCUGGAGUCAAGCCUACGACCUGUAGGAACCUGCUGCACUGCUACAUAUUGGAUCGCACAACGAUGCACUUGACCUGCAUGCUUUUACAAGGUGCCCUGUGAGCUCUCAUCCAAGCACCGCAUUGCAGAGGUCUGCUGUGAGCAGACAUGGCAAAUUGAAGUAACAUACAGAUAGUCCAAUA